GGAUGUUCCCCAAUCAAGGCUGCUCGGUGGGUUUCAGAAAUGGGAACACCCGUCCCUUCAAGCAUCCAUAGCGUGUGAACUGUAGGACUGUAGGGUGAAGGUCAUCCCAGAGCUCAGCAUUGAAACCAGCCGGAAAUUGUUCAGUUGGGGGAACUAGGGGAAAGGGAACAGUGAUGUGAAGGGCAGAGGCAGUGGUGGGAAGCCUGUGUGUGGCCGACGCAUGCUUUUACGCUGUCAUCACGGCCUUGCUUUCUAUAGCAGGGAUCUGAGAAGCAGGCAGGCAGCUGCUCUGCCUGAGACUGUCAGGAGUUGGUGGAUAUGAAUCCAUGUCUGAAGCCCAAGCUCUCGCUACUCUGCUGUCUCCCUGAGGGGUGCAUGAAGGCCCCAGCCCAGUCAGUGACACAGAGGUUGGGAAGACCAGGGCAUGAAGCUUCUGUGCUUGGAGAACAGGAGGGCUUGUGGAGCUGUGGUUGAUGGCGUGUCCAGGAAGCCUGGCCAGGGUGAGUAACAGGCCUUGUAUGUCAGGCUAAGAAAGUUGCCCUUGACAGUGCGGGACGUGGGGAGCCAUGGGCAGGUUUUCAGCAAGGACAUAAAGAGAUCAAUUCCAGGCUUUGGAGAGAGCACCAGGGUGCUGGGUGCAGGGAUAGGAGUUGGGGUGGGUACUGAGGGUGCCAGCCAUGAGGACAAUGGUGGCACCUGGAAGCAUGCAUCCCCAGGCUGUGGUGAGCAGCCCCGGGUGCCAGGCACUGGGCUGGGCACUGAAUCCCCCUUACCACACUGACCUGCACUACUGAGCUAUGGAGCUGGGGGUUGUCACACCAUCUGACGAAUAGGGAAAUGCAGGCUCCAGGUUCUGAGAGCAGGUGGAGUAAAGCACAUCCGCUGGGGGUGGCCCUGUGUGCCUGGCUCUGCGUCAGGCACUCGGGCCAUAGAGCCUCACCCAGUCUCAGAGGACACCGUGGCCUGUCUGCUGCUGCCCCUGGUGCUUCCUGGCAUCACUGGCUGGAAAGGAGGCUUUGGGGCCUCUGCACAUUUUCACCACCCCCCCAUCCUCUAAUACCUCUUUCCUCCUCCAUGGCUGGGCCUGGAGGAUCUUUGUUUCCAGCUGGGGUCUGGCAACAGCCUCACCACGAUGGCAUGGCGGUGGGCCCGGCCUCUACCCGCUGCGCCACAGCUCCUGGCUCCUGGCUCCAGGUCAUCUCUGCCCACAGCCAGCGUCUCUGCUGGACUCCUCCCCCUUCUCCCAUUCCCUGGCUGGGCUCCUCUUCCUUGGGACCUUCAUAGCUUGAUGAGAAGACAGUGCCCUCUCGGCCAGACCAGGACAUUAUUUGACAGUAGAGAAACUGGAGUGUAGACAAACACCAUGGAUGCUGUGUGGAAGAGUUGUUCCCAGCUGAAGAUGUCCCUCCUCAGUGAAGCCCUGCCUGAGCGCCUCCGGUCCUUCUCAGCAGCCAGAGGCUUCUCAGCACUUUUGCGUUCCCAUCUGGGUGGGAACUGCAUGGCCUGUUUAAGCACAAGGAGGGGGAGUGUGGGGAAGGGGGAGCAGAGUGAGUGGGGAGGCCAGAAAGGCAGGCACUGGUUCAUGUAGGGUGGUUGAUACAGUUUGGAUGUUUGUCCUCUCCAAAUCUCAUACUGAAAUGUGACCCUCAAUGCUGGAGGUGGGACCUGGUGGGAGGUGCUUGGGUGACAUGGGCCAAUCCCUCAUGAAUGGCCUGGUGCCCUCCCUGUGGUAAUGAAUUCCCAUGAGAUCUGAUUGUUAGAAAGAGCCUAGGUAGCUCCUCUCUCUUGCUCCAUCUGUCACUGUGGGACACCUCUGCUACCCUUCACCUCCCACCAGGAGGGGAAGCUUCCUGAGGCCCUGACCACAAGCAGAUGCUGCUGCCAUGCCUCCGGUACUGCCUGCAGAACUGUGGACCAAAUAAACCUCUCUUCUUUAUAAACGGC
ensembl:lincRNA